rnacentral:rRNA from 1 species
GAUCUCUUCGGAGAGAGCGGCGGACGGGUGAGUAACGCGUGGGUAACCUGCCCUGUACACACGGAUAACAUACCGAAAGGUAUACUAAUACGGGAUAACAUACGAAAGUCGCAUGGCUUUUGUAUCAAGGCUCCGGCGGUACAGGAUGGACCCGCGUCUGAUUAGCUAGUUGGUAAGGUAAUGGCUUACCAAGGCAACGAUCAGUACCCGACCUGAGAGGGUGAUCGGCCACACUGGAACUGAGACACGGUCCAGACUCCUACGGGAGGCAGCACUGGGGAAUAUUGCACAAUGGGCGAAAGCCUGAUGCACCAACGCCGCGUGAGCGAUGAAGGCCUUCGGGUCGUAAAGCUCUGUCCUCAAGGAAGAUAAUGACGGUACUUGAGGAGGAAGCCCCGGCUAACUACGUGCCAGCAGCCGCGGUAAUACCUAGGGGGCUAGCGUUAUCCGGAAUUACUGGGCGUAAAGGGUGCGUAGGUGGUUUUUUAAGUCAGAAGUGAAAGGCUACGGCUCAACCGUAGUAAGCUUUUGAAACUAGAGAACUUGAGUGCACGAGAGGACAGUAGAAUUCCUACUGUAGCGGUGAAAUGCCUAGAUAUUAGGAGGAAUACCAGUAGCUAAGGCGGCUCUCUGGACUGUAACUGACACUGAGGCACGAAAGCGUGGGGAGCAAACAGGAUUAGAUACCCUGGUAGUCCACGCCGUAAACGAUGAGUACUAGGUGUCGGGGGUUUCCCCCCUCGGUGCCGCAGCUAACGCAUUAAGUACUUCGCCUGGGAAGUACGCUCGCAAGAGUGAAACUCAAAGGAAUUGACGGGGACCCGCACAAGUAGCGGAGCAUGUGGUUUAAUUUGAAGCAACGCGAAGAACCUUACCUAAGCUUGACAUCCCUCUGACCUUUCCAUAAUCGGAGAUUUCCCUUCGGGGACAGAGGUGACAGGUGGUGCAUGGUUGUCGUCAGCUCGUGUCGUGAGAUGUUGGGUUAAGUCCCCGCAACGAGCGCAACCCUUGCCUUUAGUUGCCAGCAUUAAGUUGGGCACUCUAGAGGGACUGCCGAGGAUAACUCGGAGGAAGGUGGGGAUGACGUCAAAUCAUCAUGCCCCUUAUGACUAGGGCUACACACGUGCUACAAUGGGUGGUACAGAGGGUUGCCAAGCCGCGAGGUGGAGCCAAUCCCUCAAAUCCAUUCUCAGUUCGGAUUGCAGUCUGAAACUCGCCUACAUGAAGCUGGAAUUACUAGUAAUCGCGGAUCAGAAUGCCGCGGUGAAUGCGUUCCCGGGUCUUGUACACACCGCCCGUCACACCAUGGAAGUUGGGGGCGCCCGAAGCCGGUUAGCUAACCUUUUAGGAAGCGGCCGUCGAAGGUAGAUCAAAUUAUGCA